AUGUGUCACCUGAGGAGGCAGCUACAACUUCUGGAGACCAGAGAGAGGGAGAGACAGAGACAGGGAGACAGGGACAGACAGGGACAGAGAAAGACAGAGCGAGAGAGACAGAGACAGAGAAAGAGAGACAGAGACAGAGAAAGAGAGACAGAGACAGAGAAAGACAGAGAGACAGAGAGAGGGAGAGACAGAGAGAGGGAGAGACAGAGAAAGACAGAGACAGAGAAAGAAACAGAAAGAGAGACAGAGAGAGAAGGAGAGACGGACAGAAAGACAGAGAAAGACAGAGAAAGAGAAAGACAGAGAAAGAGAGAAAGACAGACAGAGAGAAAGACAGACAGAGAGAGAGACAGAGAGAGAAAGAGAGAGAAAGAGAGAGACAAAGACAGAGAAAGACAGAGACAGAGAGACAGAGAGGAGAGACAGAGAGAGAGAGAGAGAAAGACAAAAACAGAGAAGGACAGAGAGAGAGAGAAAGACAGAGACAGAAAACCAGAGAGAAAGACAGAGACAGAAAGAGAGAGACAGAAAGAGAGACAGAGAGGGAGACAGAGAGAGAGAAAGACAGAGAAAAACACAGAGAGAGAAGGAGAGACAGAGAGAAAGACAGAAAGACAGAGGGAGACAGAGAGAGAGAAAGACAGGGAGAGAGAGGGACAGGGAGAGAGAGGGACAGGGAGAGAGAGAGGGGGAGACAGAGGGAGGGAUAGGGCCAGACAGAAAGAGAAAGAGAGAGAGACAGGGACAGGGAGAGACACGCAGAGAGAGACAGAGGGAGGGACAGGGCCAGACAAAGAGAAAGAGAGAGAGACAGGGACAGUGAGGGACAGGGACAGGGAGAGAAAAGGAGGAAGACAGAGACAGACAGGGACAGAGAGAGAGAGCAAGCCAGGGAGACAGGGACAGACAAAGAGGAACAGGGAGAGGCAGAGAGAGGGAGAGAGACAGAGAGGGAAAAAGGGUAAGAGGGAGGAAGACAGAGAGACAGGGAGAGAGACAGGGAAAGAAAAUGAGGGAGAGACAGAGAGAGACAGGGAGGGGGAGAGAGAGAGAGAGAGACAGGGAGACAGCAACAGACAGAGGGAGAGAGAGACAGGGACAGGGAGAGAAGGAGAUGGAGAGAGAGAGAGACAGAGAGACAGGGAGAGAGAGACAGGAAGAGAGAGACAGGGAGAGAGAGACAGGGAGAGAGAGACAGGAAGAGAGAGACAGGAAGAGAGAGACAGGAAGAGAGAGGGGGAGGGACAGAGACAGGGAGAGAGAGGGAGAGACAAGGGCAGAGACAGGGAGGGACAGACAGGGACAGGGAGAGAAAGACAGAGGGAGAGACAGGGAGAGAGACAGACAGAGAGACAGGGACAGGGAGGAACAGGGACAGGGACAGGGAGGGACAGACCAAAAGACAGACAAGAGACGGGGCGGGGGGGAGAGACAGACCAAAAGACAGACAAGAGACAGGGAGAGAAAGAGGGAGAGAGAGACAGGGAGACAGGGACAGGGAGAGACACAGGGGGAGAGACAGAGGGGGAGAGAAGGCAAGAGACAGAGAGACAGGGAGAGACAGAGACAGACAGGCAGAGACAGAGGGAGACAGAGACAGACAAAGAAGGAGAGACAGAGACAGGGAGACAGAGACAGACAGAGAAAGAGGGAGAGAGAGGGAGACAAAAAGACAAGACAGAGAGACAGGGAGAAAGACAUAGAGACAGGGAGAGAGAGGGAGAGGCAGAGACAAAGAGGGAGAGAGAGAGACAGGGAGAGGGCAAGACAGAGACAGACAGACAGAGAAAGAGGGAGAGAGAGAAAAAAGACAUGAGACAGAGAGACAGGGAGAAAGACUUAGAGACAGGGAGAGACAGAGAGAGAGAGACAGACAGACAGACAGAGAGAAAGAGGGAGAGAAAGAGAGGGACAGGGAGAGACAGGGACAGGGACAGGGAGAAAGACAGGGAGAGACAAAGAGGGAGAGACAGAGACAGGGAGAAGGUGAGAGACAGACAGAGCGAGAGCCAGGGAGAGCCAGGGAGACAGACAGGGAAAGCCAGGCAGAUAGAGGGGGAGCAAGACAGGGAGAGACUCAGGAUGCCCCACUCCGAGCUCGCGUGGCUCUGCCCGGGGACCGCUCCCGGGCUACGGGACCCCGGCACGCCGACGGCCCCAAGAUUGGCGCUACCGAUUGGGACCCGCACCUAA
ensembl:lncRNA